rnacentral:rRNA from 1 species
GUCCACGCCGUAAACGAUGAGCGCUAGGUGCUUUGGGUAUUGACCCCCGAGGUGCCGAAGCUAACGCGUUAAGCGCUCCGCCUGGGGAGUACGGCCGCAAGGCUAAAACUCAAAGGAAUUGACGGGGGCCCGCACAAGCGGUGGAGCAUGUGGUUCAAUUCGACGCAACGCGCAGAACCUUACCUGGGUUAAAUCCACUCGAACCUUGCAGAGAUGUAGGGGUGCCCUUCUGGGGAGCGAGUGAGAAGGUGCUGCAUGGCUGUCGU